UUGCUUUGGCAGCACAUAUACUAAAACUGGAAUGAUGCAGAGAUUAGCAUGGCCUCUGCACAAGGAUGACACUUUUACUUAACUUUGCAAAAAAAAAAAAAUUA
rfam:Pan troglodytes isolate Yerkes chimp pedigree #C0471 (Clint) chromosome 6, whole genome shotgun sequence.